UAAGGCAAGGUUAUACUGCGAACUGCGAAUGGCUCAUUAAAUCAGUUAUCGUUUAUUUGAUAGUACCUUACUACUUGGAUAACCGUGGUAAUUCUAGAGCUAAUACAUGCUAAAAACCCCGACUCACGGAGGGGUGUAUUUAUUAGAUUAAAAACCAAUGCCCUUCGGGGCUCUUUGGUGAUUCAUAAUAACUUCUCGAAUCGCAUGGCCUUGCGCCGGCGAUGGUUCAUUCAAAUUUCUGCCCUAUCAACUUUCGAUGGCAGGGUCUUGGCCUGCCAUGGUUACAACGGGUAACGGAGGGUUAGGGCUCGACCCCGGAGAAGGAGCCUGAGAAACGGCUACUACAUCCAAGGAAGGCAGCAGGCGCGCAAAUUACCCAAUCCCGAUACGGGGAGGUAGUGACAAUAAAUACUGAUACAGGGCUCUUUUGGGUCUUGUAAUUGGAAUGAGUACAAUUUAAAUCCCUUAACGAGGAACAAUUGGAGGGCAAGUCUGGUAAGCAAUCUGCUGGUGCCAGAUAGAGUGAGGCCCUACAACUCACUAGUCGAACGCAUCCGUCAGUGGCGGGUGGAUGCCGGCGAGACAACCUGGAUCGGGGAAGGCUAAGGGCCCCAGGCCUAUGCUAAUCCCGAGCGGAGCUACCCUGUAGCCCGUGUAGAGCGCGGAAAGGUGUCGGUCUUGCGAGCGCAAGGCUUAAGGGACGUGCCAGACCCUGCAGAAAUGCACGCCAGCUACUCGAGCGCCCGCCGCGCGAAAGGUAGUUGGGCGCUAUAGCGUGCUAUAGCGUCGUAUAGUGGGUAACUAAACGGGCCAGCAGCCGCGGUAAUUCCAGCUCCAUAGCGUAUAUUAAAGUUGUUGCA
rnacentral:rRNA from 1 species